UUUUGGCCCCAAAACCCAAUUCCCCACAUGGCGUACCACCGCCCAUCGCUGCUCCUCCGCCGCCGGCGCAGCCUCCCCACCCCUUCCUCCCUCCUCGUCCUCCUCCGCCACCGCGCCUUCGCCUCCUCUCCCUCCCCACCCUCGCCCUCGUCCUCGCCCCCCUCACCGGCCUCCCCUAAGCCCCCCGCCCUAUCCGCCCGCCUCGCCUUCGUCUUCGACCAGCUCGAUGCCAUCGACCGCUCCCGCUCCUCCGACCUCUCGGCCCGCGACGCUGCCCUCCGCCGCAUCCAGUCCUGGCGCCGGCCCGCGCCGCCUCCUGAGGCGCCGCCGCUGGAGGGAGAGGCAGGACCGCGGCCAGAGCCGGGGCCGGAGCCGGAGCCCGACGAACCGAAGCAGGAAGCUGAGGUGUCGGUGGCAGCGGCCGAUGAGGUGAGGAGGAUGAGUAUGGAGGAGGUGCUGCGGAGGGAGGUGGAGCUGGUGCACCCCUGGCCGGAGUGGAUCGAACUGAUGGAGCGGCUUGCUCAGCAGAGGUACUUUGACCUCGGACGGGCCGGUGGUGCCGACGAGGCCUCAAUGGCCGCCGCGGUGCCCAUGGACCUCUCAGAGGUCAGCGAGGAGGCCGGGUUCGACUUCUCCAGGGACUGGACCACCGUUAAGAACGCCUGCAUGAACUUUGGCCGCGACCGGUUCGACAUCCUCAAAUCAUUGCCAAGGAAGGAUCUUCAGAUAUUGGUGGGCCAUGGGUGCCCCAGCAUGGAUGCAAAAGCUGUGUUUUCUGCAAAGCUGAUAAGAAAACUUGUCCAUCUUGAUGAGGGCGAUGUAUGUAGCUCUUGUAAUUUACGAAAUGUAUGCUCGAGGGGUUACAUCCUUACACGUAAAGAAGAUGAAGCUAGGACCCUCGAUGUUAUGCGUAUUUUAUUGAUCUAUGGUUUUGAUCACAUAAAGGAAACCGUAGAGAACAAGCCUCUUCUCAAAUUGAAAUCUUUGAAGGCUGUUGUCCGGAAAUUAAUACACGAGAUUGUCAAGUUGAGCAGUGUUCCUAUUGAUCCUAAUCUCCCACCCCCUGUAAUAAGGAAACCUCCUCCUAAGGUGAAGCAACCACCUCCCCCACCAAAGAAGCGAGUCGGACGUGAUGAUGUAGAGAUGAAGAAAGGAGAUUGGCUCUGCCCUAAGUGUGACUUCAUGAACUUCGCAAAAAACAAUGUUUGCUUGCAGUGUGAUGCUAAACGUCCAAAAAGGCAACUCCUCCCUGGAGAGUGGGAAUGUCCUCGGUGCAAUUUCUUGAACUAUAGGCGGAAUAUGUCAUGUUUCCAUUGUGAGCACGACCGCCCUGCUGAUGAGUAUGCCAAGAGCCAAAUGGAAGCAAAGCAAUCGGCACUACGGAAAAGAUUGGAAAGACCUCCACGCAAGUCUGAUGUUUCUAGUGCAUGGAACUUUGAUUUUGAUGAUAAUGAGUCAGACGGCGCUGAUGUUGCUGCAUUUGAGUUUGCUGAUUCAUCUAAAGCGAGGGAGAGCUCAUCUGUGGACAGCAUGUCCUAUAGAGAUUCUGCUAGGGGCUCAGAGGACGAUGACUUCAGAAUGGCUGAAACAAUGGCUAAGGGAAGAGAUAAUUUCUCAGAAAGAGAUAGCUUGCCAUCUUCUAGGGUUGGUUUUGAUGAUUUUGAUGAUGAAGAGGAUGACAUUGACAAUUACGAACUUGACUUAUCAAAAGGAAGUCAGGCUGGUGGAGUAUCAAGGAUGAGCUAUUCUGAUCUUGAGAAUGCUUCUGAUUCAGAAGGUUUUGGUGAAUUUGAUAACAAUAGAAAGCCCAGAUAUGCAACCAAGGAUGAUAUAGCAGCGUCUGCUAAUGAGGAUGAAUUCGAGGAUCACCCUUCCCUGAGAUCGAGUCAUCUUGCUGAUUCUUGGCAUAAAACCAGAGGUCGGAGUGGUUCUACUAAAUAUAGAAGGGCAUCUUUUGGAUCAGAGAGUGAUGAUGGGAUCAAUUCCGAUUUGGACGAGGACAUUGACGAAGGUCUUAGAAGUAAAAGAAGCCAUAUUCAGGGAAAUCCUGAGAGAGCUUCUGUCAGGCGCAAUGCACUUGCCUAUAGUGAUGAUGAACCAUUUCCUAAUGAUAUGGAUUCUGGUAUGGUUGAUCGGUUCCAGUCUAGGCGGACUAAGUCUUCCACAAACAUCAGUAACAACUUCCGUGGCAGAAGCCGUAACUUGAAUGAUAGACAGUCUAGAGGGGACCGUUAUGGUAGAACGGACCGGAAUGAAAAAUCUAAUGGUUUUAGUAUGCAUCGUGGUGGGCCAGUAUCGGAUAGGAGCCGCAGGGUUAGAGGAAAUCAGCUAGAUAAUGGUUCAAGAGGUUCACAAAGAACUGGAAGAAGAAAUUGGGAUAGAAGUGGUGACUUCCAUGGCAGGCGCUGAGACUUUUAAAUAGAGGAUAUGGAUAAAACAAAGAGAGCAGCAACAUAAGUAUUAGAAGAGGGGACAAGUAAGCAGCAAGUUCCUUUGGUGGAAAACUGAAUGAGAAUUGGAUUUAGAGGCCCUGGCUGAUAUGGGUGCUCCCGGGAAAGUUACGAUUUGUUAGUCAUUUCUCCAUUUUUGCUAACACUUGCAGCAUUAUAGUGCAAGAAGGGGCCUGGGCCUACCUAUGAGUAUUGGCAUGGCAGCAUGUCUGUUCCCUUCAGCAUGGAGCUCAUUUGAUUUCACCAUAGCCGUCUUUCAAGAUGCUCCUCCAUUGUGUGACCACACCUCUCAUCUGCACUUCCUUUUGAAUUUUUGAAACACCGUACUUGUUUGUCUCCUUGUUAUUUUUUUUUGUUGCAUUACAUGGCAUUGCAAUUGCAUCUGUCGGAGCCUACAAAUCUGAAAACUCUGUUUGCGAAUUUAUGUUGUUCUUUUAUAAGCGAUUUUGUGUUGUUUGGAUGGCCUCAUGGACGGCGGUGGACGGAGUUCGGCGGGGCAGGCCGAGCUGGGCCUGAUUGGGCCGCUGGGUUUGCUUGACUGCGCGUAGGAGGUGGUCCGGGCGAU